GGGAAGAAAAGGUAAUGAAGAAGUUGAAAUUGGAGUAUAACUCUCUCUGUAUUGCACUAUAGCAGUGGUUGUGGUGUUAUCAAACUCUACUCUUGCGUUAUCAGUUGAAUAUGCUCUUGCAGCCAUAUAGUAGUGACUAGGUUCUUGGUUGGCAUGUAACAAUACAUCCAUUGUUUGUCCUGGUGAUAUGCAAAUGUAAUCUCUCGUCAUUGGUUUUGUGUACAUAGCAUCAGCACCAACAACAGUGAGUUUAUGUUUAGAAAUUGAGAAAAAGAGAAUGAGAUUCAUUGCAGCAUUAACAACACGUAGAAGAUAUGUCCUUCCCUGUUCUACUCUUAGCUUGAAUGUUUCUGAAAAAGAAAAGAAAAUCCAACUUUAGAGCCAAACUUCCAAUUUACAAGAAAAAUUGAAACAAAGGGAUAUAUGUCUUUAAGGCUUAAUGUAUUAAUGGCUAUUUUUUUUUGGAGUUUUAAUGAAUAUGUAUGGGUACAAUGUCAAAAGAAUUACACUAACGUCCAACUAUAUUUUAGGCUUAAUUGUUGUUUUGGUCUCCAUAUUUUAACAAUUUUUUUAUUUUAGUCUCUAUUUUUAAAAUCAGCAAUUUUUAUCCCCAUGUUUUAACAAAUCAGGGUUUUCGCCUCCUUAUUUCUAAUUCAGCAAUUAUAGUACCUUAAUUUUGUCGAUUUUGAAAAACAAACUCACCAUUUUUUCAUUGACACCAUUUUUUCCCCAUACCACUCAUAUACCAUCCCAUGUGAUAUUUUUUUUAUUCUUUAUUUCUCCUCCCUUUUAUCAUUCCCUUUCUCUCUCUUCCCCCAGAACAGGUCACAUGUGGGUGUAGAAUUGAGGGUUUGCAACAUAAGGUAGUCACUUUUUUCGGUACGUUGAUGUGUCAUAUUUCAAUAUGACAUGUAAAUAAGUAUUUCUUAUUUCAUAUUCGAGUAUUUUUUAUUUGUAAAAAUAUUUAUAUAUUUAAGAAAAUAGGAUGAGUAGAUUUCUACCAUUUAAAUUAAAAUAAUCAAGAUGAACUGAAAAUUAUUUCUACCAUUUAAUUUAAACAUAAAAUGUUAAAGAUUCAAAGUUAAUAAUGAUCAAAUGAUUAUUCAAAAAAUUAAAAUAAUCUUACAUUUCUAUACUAGAAUUUUGAAAUAUAGUGUUAGCAUCGGAUAAAUUUAAAAAUCUUGAUGCAUGUACCUGAUUUAGAGCAAGGAUACAGAUCUCCAGGCUGACCAUUAAUAGUGAUAGCAUCAGAUGAGUUUGGGGCUCCUCCACUUUCAAGAAAUUCUGUAAAUACCUUGUUGACAUCAUUCUUCCACCAUUCACCUAGGUGUGAAAAAAAAAUUAUUAAUAUUUUUUCUUCUCUUUUCUCUAUUAUUAAAUAGUAUAGUAACAAUAUAUAAUCAACUAUAACAUCAAAAGAUUUUCAUACCAAAUAUGAUGGGUAUCUCUCCAUAAGGCUUAGGAAAAGGGUAAGUACUAUUUAUUAUAGGGUAGAUAUUGAUAGCCCCAUGCACAGUUGCUCUAGCCCAAUCACUAUGAGCAUGCCACCAUAAGGUCCCUUCCUCAUCUGAAAAAACCACUUUCUGUCUGAAUUUCCCUCCAGGUUGGAUUGGACACUGAGUUAUGUACUCAGGACCAUCUGUCCAUGGAUUCCUUGGCUGCAUCACUCCAUGCCUGAGUUAUUUAAGAAUAUAAUUAGUUUUCCAUACAUUGUGAUGUGUUUUGCAUGUGUCAUUAAUAAUUGAAAUAACAAUACCAAUGUAUAGUUAUGUUGUAUUUUCCCUUGUUAUACACAUUAACAUAGAUUGUAUCACCCUUGUGAACUCUUAUAGUUGGCCCUGGAAAUUUUCCAUUCACAGUCAGUAUGCUUUUUGUGCUACACAGUCUUGUGUAACGAGCUUCUUGAACCUGCAACAUUAAUCAAUCACAUACUAUAUAUAAUCAGCUAUAUAUAAACUACGACACAGUUGUGUUGUAUGUAUAUGUGAAAAAUAUUUGCAUGCAAAUUUAUUUCAAUUACUGCAUAUGCUGUUUAAUUCAUGCAACCAUUUUAGUUUGGGAAAACAUGCAAAAAAAUAUUCAAAUUUUGGCUACUACUACAUAACGUUGUACUAAUAAUCUAUUAAUUCUAUACAAUGUAUUUUUAAGUUAUUGUCACGAAAUGACGGAACUUACAACAAAAUUAUAAUGACUCCGAGUUUGGGAACUAAGAGUAAUGAAAGAAUAAAUCAACAAAGUUUGGAACAAUUCUUUGUAAAACGACAUUUUCAUGAAAGAAACUAUGUUGAGCUCGUUGUAUAAUGCUAUUGUGAAUAAUUUUCUUGGGUUACUACCAAAGCAUUUGUGUAGAAGGGGUUUUUAUAGAAGUGGAUUUUACGUGCUUCAACUACCAAAUUUUGGUGAACCUCACCAUCACACUUAUGAAAUAAGUAUUGGAAAGAAAAAUGAGGGUGAUUCAUCAAGAGUAAUUCUGAGCUGAUUAUGUAGACAGCGUAUAGAUCCAAUUGAUGGUCUUACUUAGUAAGGUUUGAGUUUUGGCAUAUAACCUUAUUUAGUAAGGUUAUUAGGUGAACCAACUCACAUAAUAUUUAAUUAAGAUUGUUUAAUCAAGACAAUAUCUAAAUUUGAUUAUUAAAAAAAAUUGACUUUUCAUUAUAUAUGUCUAUAAAUUUUGUGUGAAAUCAUUGAAUAUCUAUACGUAAUGCAAAGAAUAAUGUAUUAAUUUGGAAGAAACUAAAAUAGGUGUAAAAAACAUCCCUAAACAGUUUUUAACUUGCUUUUAUUAUUGCUGAAAUUAAACGCAAAACUUACAAAUAAGUACCACUAAUAAAUUUGAAUCGUCAAAUCUGAACACUUUUCAAUAGUCAACAACAUGCACUAUGGAGAUAGUGGUGUUUAGGCAUAUUGGAGAAACCGGGUUACUUUACACCUACGAAAUUGAUACCUCUGAUCUUUUUUGUUUUAAUCAAUAUUACGUCUGAAUUUUUAAUACUUUUGAAUUUGAUCGGUCCUCAUCAGCCAAAACCAUUUAAUGGAAAAUAUAUGAUAUGUAUUACUCCCUUCGUCCUGGAUUAACUGAGUCAUUUACUCAUUUCACAUAUAUUAAGAAAAAUGUAUUAGUAAAGGAGAGAAAAAAAUAGUUUUAAAUGAUCUUGUUAAGUGUAUUGGUAUAUUCUCCACUAUCAUAAAUGCAAAGUGAAAUAUAUUGAAUUGGGAGCGAUGAAAGUAGUAUUAACUAAAGUUAUAAAGCGAAAAAAGUAAUUAAUAUUAUAUUAAAAAGUGAAAUAGCUCAGUUAUUUUGAAACACUUUUUUUCUUCUUCAAAUGACUCAAUUAUUAUGGGACGGAUGGAGUACAACUUACAAGUAGAAACAUAUAGUAUGUAAUUCAAAUGAAUGGAAAUUGUAGAAAUAUAAACACUUCCUUCAUUGAAAUCAAAAUCCAAAUGAAUGAAUAAAAAUACAAUAAUUGGGAAUGAAUAAAUACAAUAAUAAGUAAACAUCGAAUGUUGUCUCAUAAGUCUUAACUCAACCUUAAAAAAUGUUAAAAUUAUUAAGCUGAAUAUCAUGAUCGUGAUUCGAAACCCGACGCCUCCACUUAUACUAAUUAAUGAUUGUUUUGCCAUUUAUCUUCUAAAAAAACAUUGAAUGCCGCUGAUAAUGAAAGUGUGCCUUUCAUAAUCGUAGCUCACCCAAAUCUAACAAUAAAAUUCCAUAUCAACGUCAAAAAUAGAAAUUCCCAUACCAAGUCAAAUACGUUUCUUCUUUUAAACAAAAUACGUUUCUUAAAAAAUAAAAAUGUAAAAUAUAAUAUUUGGGAUUUAAUUUAUACACAUUAAAUACAUGGCCGUUUCUGAGAUUUUGGUGGCCUAGGGCGAACCUACAAUUUGGAUCUUAACUUAACUAAUAUAUAUAUAUAUAUAUAUAUAUAUAUAUAUAUAUAUAUAUAUAUAUAUAUAUAUAUAAACAUCAAGAGAAUUGUUCUUCUUCCAUUUAGAAUUGUCUAUUCCCAUCAAAAAGUCGAAUGUGAGUUAAUUCACGUAAGUGUAUUUUCAACGUUAGUUAGGCAUUUUUCAACGUGAGUUAACUCAAGUAGCACAUGUAUGAGCAAAAACAAAUGGGAGAAGAGCAAUUAUCAAACAUUAAACUUGAUACAAAAAACAAAUAAACUUUUUUUAGAGCGUAAUAGACCCCUAAAAAAAAUUAGGGGUCCAAAUUUCGUACUUAUUAUUUUGGGGUCUAGGGCGGUCGCCCUCUUCGCCUUGUCUCAGAUACGGCCCUGACCAAGUAGAAAUAUAUGGACUGUAAUUCAAAUGAGUGGAAAUUGUAGAAAUAUAAACACUUCCUUCAUAUUGGAAUCAAAAUUCAAAUGAAUGAAUAAAUACAAUAAUUGGGAAUAAAUAUUAAAUCUUUAUUUUUAUCUUUAUUAAAUGUUAUACGGGCUCCAAUCAACCCUAAUCCCGCCCUUUUUUAAGGGUAAUUUUUAUAUGAAAAAAAAGGUUUUGUAAUUAAAAAUACAUCAAUGGUCAAAUUUUUUUUUAAUAUAUGUAAAAUGGUCAAAUUUUUGGAAUCUUGUACGAGGUUCAAAUGUCACCGACAACAUUUAUCUAGGAGAAAGGAAAAACAUCAACAAAAAAGAUGUGAAAGAGGAUACUCGAGCAUGAAAAAUAUUUGGGUGACAUUGAGUUUUUGUAAUAUUGGUGAAAUUGGUGUAUUUUGAUGAAAGGGAAUGUUUUAUGCAUGAUUAAAAUAAAUUAAUUUUGAUGAGAGAAUGAUUAAUUUAUACAUGCUCAAAUAGACAACAAAUGAAAAAAAAAAUGCAGGAAAGCCACUCGCUCCAAGCAUCCAUCUUCUUAUGCUCAUAUUUUCCACAAGUCCUAGAACAUUGACUCUAAUCUUUGGGAUGAAUUUUUUUACCAAAAUCUAUCUGAACACAAAUGUAUACAAAUCGCCCUUACGUGUGAAUGAAUGUCAACUUCUACUUUCAACAUUGUUCCUAAGCUUUCUGAUAUAUAGCUUCAUGGGAAGGUUAAAGUUUUUCACUCUUAAAACUUUAUUGGGAUAUUUUAUAAAAUUUAAGUUUUGGAUUAUAAAUAUAAACGUAUAAUCAAAAGCGAUUCAAAAUGAUAAUUUUAAAAGACUUAAAUUUAAAUUUUCAAAAAGUUGACGGACCAAUUUAAAAAUAAAUAAAUAAAUUCUACAGUUUUUUAUUUUUGAAAAUUUAUAUGGGCAAAUUUGUAAUUUAUUGAAACUUUGUAGGGACCACUUUUAAAUUUCAAAAAAUAUAGGGAAUAAAUUGUAAAGUUUUAAUAAAAAAUAUGAGUCAAUGUGUAAAUUUUAAAACAUAUAAGAACCAAUCUGCAUAAUUUGAAAUAAUCAAAAUGAUCAAUUUGAGAUUCAACUUACAUAGAAUUAGAAAGAAAUUCCAAAUUCUUAGUUGAUAUUUUAAAAAAAAAAAAAAUGUACUGGAAAAAAACAUGGAGGUAGUAAUAGUAAAGUUUGCGUAUUGGUUAUACUAAUACUAGUCUAUGAAAUAAUUUGGAUCCUGAUGAUUCUCUCUUUUUCUCCAACGAGUUCAUGAUGGAACGAUUUGAUUUUUAUACCCCCUGGAAAAAGCCACUUUCAACAUAUACAAGAAAUUAAUGCUUAAUUCUCUGGGAGCAAACUCAAUCUAACCAUAGUAAUAGUUUUAUGUGGUUUUCUUGAGCAAAUUGGAUGUUAUUGUUGAGAUGUCAUGACCUCUCCCUUGCAUUAGAUUCUUUUCUUUUCUUCUCAAUUCAAUUGAAAUUCCUUCUCAUGCAGAUACUGCUUUAAGGAUUUACAAUGGAUGGAUAUAAUUAAGGUAUGUAAUUCAGUUAUGGGUCCAAUUACAAAGUUUUCAGUUUAGGCACUAUUUAAAACUCACUUAAUAAUUUUGAAAUUUCAUGAGUUAGUAAACUUAAUUAUUUUUUAUUAAAAUAUAAAAUCAAAAUAAAGAGAUAAAGUUGAUGCUAUCAAUUAGACAUUUGUUCAUAAUUCAAAUUUACUUUCGUAUAUAUGAGAUGAAUUUUUGGAUUCUUAAGAAAGAUUCUAGUGAUAACCAAAACCUUGCUAGGAGUUGUAGCUUUUGAAUACUACUUGAAGGAAAAGGUUCAAGUGUACUUGAAAAUCAGAGUUGUAAAGUGAGAAAUAAUUUUGAUUGAAAUUAGAUAGGAUACCGUUUAAUUUCUUUCAUUGAUCAUCAAGACUAUUUGUAGCAAAGUUGGUUACAACAAUUCUCCAAUCAUUACAACUACCAAGGGAAUCCAAUAACAACCUUGCCAACUCAGCAUUCUAGAAGCACACACUCAACAAUCUAGAAGUAAAAUUAAAUGACUGAAAUUAAAAACUAUUGAAUUACAUAUAUAAAAUUGUAAUUUAUUUAGCUACUAAUUAAGUGAAAUGAUGUCACAGCAUACAUAAGAAAAGUCUAAAAGAUUAAUCAACAUAGGGGCAUGUCCGGUGGCGGAGGAGGUAAUGUUUCAUUCAAGGAUUUGCCAUUCUUCACAAUAAACACUGUCUCCAUGCCCCAAGUGAGGUGGCGUUCUAGAUGACAGUGCAGGAACCAUACUCCUGUAAUUGAAUGAACAGAUUUAUACAUAAAAAAGUUAUAUAGUUUGUGCAACAAUGAGUUUUGAACUAAGAAAAAUGGAAAGAAAAAAAAAAAAGUUAAAUAUAAGGGGUAUAUAUGCAAUGCUAUUUACAAUAGAAUAUGAUUUGUUAUGAUUCUUUUUACAAGAAACUUAGGGUGACUUAAAGAUCACGUUACCUUAAAGAAAAAACAAAGAUGUUUACUGUGUAUAAGUUCAUCAGAGCACAUACCUGGGUUGGAGGCCAGAAACCUAACGGCAGCCCAUCCACUUUUAGGCACCAUAAGGGUAUUCAAAAGUGGAGGAUCAAUGAGAUUGUAAUUCAUGGGAUGCUUACUUUUAUUGAAAUUACCAAACCCGUAUCCGACGACAUAGAAACUAAAUCCAUGGAGAUGCAUGGGAUGGUCUAACCCUCCUCCUACCAAAUUUGUCCCCUGGAAAACAAGUUCCACUGUUGAGCCAUAUUUUAGUACUUUCACUUUAGUUCCUCUUUUUGGUGUAUUCAAGGUCAAAGGGAAACUAUCUGCAGUGAAGUUAAAUAUUAAAGGUGGAAAACUUGGAAAUCCCUUGCUGAAUACCCCGUUGAUAUGAUAGUAAUAGGCUUCUAAUAUGUCAAAUUUAUUAGGGGUUUGAAAACUUAUGUUGUUCAUGCUAGAUGAUAAAAUGGUUCCAUUUGGGCCUUCACAGGUUUGGCGGCCAUUCGGACAUGGAAAGGUGUUGAUAGAAACUGUGGUUAUCACAUGAGUGGUGAUUUUUGUUGGGACUUCAUGGGGGUAUUUCUUAGGUAAGCCUCUAAUGCUUCUGAUGAAGUCAAAAGCUGCUUGUGUGUCAUUAUAGUUUGGAAGAUGAGGUAAUGAAGGAGUUGAAAGUGGUGUAUGACUCCAACUGUAUUGUACUAUACCAGUGGCUGUGGUAUUAUCAAACUCUAAUCCUGCUGCACUUGAAUAUGCUCUUGCAGCCAUAUAGUAGUGACUAGGUUCUUGGUUGGCAUGUAACAAUACAUCCAUUGUUUGUCCUGGUGAUAUGCAAAUGUAAUCUCUCGUCAUUGGUUUUGUGUACAUAGCAUCAGCACCAACAACAGUGAGUUUAUGUUUAGAAAUUGAGAAA
rnacentral:lncRNA from 1 species